rnacentral:rRNA from 1 species
UACAGAGGGUGCUAGCGUUGUUCGGAAUCAUUGGGCGUAAAGGGCGUAUAGGCGGUUUGUUAAGUCAUGUGUGAAAUCCCUCGGCUCAACCGGGGAACGACGCAUGAAACUGGCAAGCUAGAGUACCAAAGAGGGGGGUGGAAUUCCCGGUGUAGAGGUGAAAUUCGUAGAUAUCGGGAGGAACACCGGUGGCGAAGGCGGCGAUCUGGGUAGAUACUGACGCUGAGGUGCGAAAGCGUGGGGAGCAAACAGG